CCUCUCAGGGAAGCUUUUUGCUCGAAUUAUGUUUCUGAUCCGAAUAUAAGACGAACAAAAGGUUUGUCUGAGGGCA
rnacentral:pre_miRNA from 2 species